rnacentral:rRNA from 1 species
AGAACGAACGCUGGCGGCAUGCCUAAUACAUGCAAGUCGAACGAACACUUCGGUGUUAGUGGCGCACGGGUGCGUAACGCGUGGGAAUCUGCCCUUGGGUUCGGAAUAACAGUUGGAAACGACUGCUAACACCGGAUGAUGACGAAAGUCCAAAGAUUUAUCGCCCAGGGAUGAGCCCGCGUAGGAUUAGCUAGUUGGUGAGGUAAUGGCUCACCAAGGCGACGAUCCGUUAA